ensembl:lncRNA
AUAAUUUGAAAACUAUAUAUGAAUGAUAAUACUUACAAUUUUUAAAGAACCUACUCUUUGCCAGAUACUACAUUUGACACUGAAUGUAUAUAAAUAUAAAAUGUCUUAAUUCUUAUUAUAGCCUCACAAGGUAAAAAAUGUUGCCUUUUUUACAGAUAAGAGAGCUCAGUGAUAUGAAAGGUGCUCAAUAUCUGGCACAUAGAAGAUGCUCAGUAAAUGGUGAAUAUUCUUAUGUGGAUUUCAAAAAAAACAAACAAACAAACAAAAAAGAAUGGAGUUUGGAGGACUAGAAGUUGCUCUGGGGAAGAAAAUAAGAAGAAAAAAAAAUUCACUCUGCAAGAUUCUCUAACCCAGAAACCCAAGAAGGAAAGAAAGAGCUGCAUGGUGACCCUGACAAGUCCCUUUUUCUCAACCCUCAUCUGAAAUAGAUGCAUACUACAAGGAGGCACAAUGAUAAUGAGCUUAUUUCCUUCAAGCUACAAUCAAGAUGCUGAAAUAAAGGCUACAAUAUCUUUUGCCUUAUAUUCUGACAUCAGUGAAAUCAAGGCAAGUGCUCUGCUUUGGCCAGUGUUUUCGUACUUUCUAUUAGCAAUUUACACACAAAACACAUGCUUUUAGGAGUCCAUAAAUUAUUUCAGAAAUUCAUCUCUAUUUGGAAAGUUAAGCAAUUUCAAAGGCAAUAGUAGUCACCCAUCUAUAAGGAAAGCUACACUUGAACUGCUAAAUGGAACUGCAGGGAUGCAUACAGAAAUUAGAACUGCCUGCAAUGCACAGUUCAGAAUAAAGAAAGCCAACAAGGGCCACAAUAAAAGUAAUUAUAGCUCUAAGAAAAGCUUUCAAGGAUUUGAAACAGACUCAGAAUUUCUGAGUUUAACUGGUUUCUACACAAAUAUACAUAUAGUCCAUCUGUCUGUAUGAACACACGUUCUUCUGUGUUUUGGUUAAACCUUCAUUUUAUUCCUUGGUUAACUACUACAGAUACACUAGAAAGUUUUGUUCUGCUGUGUUAGAAUGUCACAGAAUGACUAACUCAAACCUAAAAUAGAGAACAAUGUGAAAGCCUGUGAAUGUGACAUUCAACUUGAGGGCCACACGGAAAGUGACAAUAUCAAGUAAGUAGAGGGUGGUGCUAGAUAUACCCACAAACUGCUGCCAUGAGAUUACUCAAGUUUUGGUGCCUUAAGGAAUUUUCCUAGGCAACCUUUUCUCUGCACUUCAUUCUACUUAUCUAAUUUAGUUCUGCAAAUUAAAAUUUGCUGAGCUACCUGUAAAGAUGCACAUUCUCAACCUUAAACAAUUCUAGAAAUGUGACAGGAGAUGGGUAACUUCUGGAUCUUUAAUAUUCCCUUUUGGCUUUGAAUAGAUGAUGCUACUACCCUUAUUUUAGGUGUGAGAGAAUAGUGGAUAAAAUGUUGUGUAGACAUUCUGAAUAAUAUAUAAAGUAGAACUAGAAUUAUAAUAGCAUAAAAAUAAUCACAAUAUAUUUUUAAAUAAUAAAAUAGCAGCAAUAAUAGUAAGAAAAAGUUUGUGGAAGAUUUGGACUGAAAGCAAAAUGUCAUAAUUUGUUGUUUCAAAGAUAAGUGCUCACAAAAAUUUUCUCCUUGAACAAACUCUUAUCAGGCCCCAGUGAACUCUCUACUCACCUAGACUCAGAUUUUUGAGCUUCUGUGUUUAUCUCUGCAUUGCCCAAUUCUAGCAAGAAUUUUACUAAGUCAGUUUAACCGGAAUCCUCUACUCUCAUCGCUUGAUACUUGAUUGGGUUCCUCAUCUGCCACCAUCCCCCAGGUGAUGUCUGAUCACCCUGGCCUGCCCUGAGCAAGAAUUCUGCUAGGUCAGUUUGCUCAAAAUUCCUAUUAACCCUGACGUUUUCCCUUAGUAAUUUUUCAUCAACUAACCCCCACCCAGCACUCUGCCUCUUGACUAUAAAUUCCCACUUUUCCUUAUUAUAUUUGGGAUGGAGCCCAAUUUCUUUCUCCCACUGUAAAAAUACAUUGUGGUGGUCCCUGUUACUAUUGUGAUGGUCCUGAAUAAAGUCUGCCUUACCAUUUUUAAAGUGAAUGAAUUAGUGUUUCCCUUAGCAGUGAUGUGCUGUGACUUAAACAGGAUCAGAUAUAUCAUUGGACCCCGGGACCUGUCACUUAGGACCUUAAGUGUGCGCACCUGUGAAGCCUUUGUCUUUACUUUUUACUGAUUGAUCACAUAUCCUUUCUUCAGUCAGACUCCUGAGCCAUUCAUUGUUCUGAACAAUUAUCCGUGGAAGCUGGUAAGGACAGAUUUCUAUUCCUAGGAUUCUGAGUAUACUGUAGAAACUGAGUUAGUCCCAGACAAACAGAGGACAGCUUUCUGUCUCUCGUGGGGAUUAUUUCUUGACUCCUGAGCUGAAAGUACUUCUUCUCGGCUUUUUAAGUGGGGAUUCUCUCUCUAAUUUCUGACAUAGACAAUUUUUUCUAGCUCUUGGUGGGGCUUUGUUGUUCUGUUUGAUCCUGCUCCCUCCAGGGAAACAUCUCAGUCUACUGAAACUGCCUUAUUGAACCCCUGCUGACUGUAUGUUCCACCAACUCUGUCCGUUUCCUUCUCGUUGGCACAAUUUUGCUGAGGAUAACUGGGAACCUCAUUGGUCUCUUUGGGAAACUUAAAAUCUCCCUCAUCUGAGACCUUUCCAUUCCCAUUGCUUCUGCUUCUCCUCUAGCCACCUUCAAUCUUCCCUUUAGUUUCCUUAAAUUGAACCUCUACCCCUUCCAUCCAACUCUCCAGGCCUGCCAGGCCUUUCCCUUCUCACUUCAGCCUCAACUUCUCUAAAGUCACUGAAGUGUUAGGCUUCUAUCACUAUUGGGGGCCCCUAGGGAAGGGACUCAGGGUGCCCCGAAAGCAACUACCAGAGGCUAAAAAGCAGAAAGACUAAGUGAAAACGGACUGAAUAUUUUAUCAAAUCAGAUGGGCUUUGGAGACAUCAAGACAGUUCGUGAUUGUCUCCUCAGCCUAAAAUAUAGUCCACAGCCCUCCCAAAAUUACAUAUCAGGUCGAAACAAAAUUUCAAAGGUCUUCUCCAUAAAUAUUGGUAAGAAAAUAAAAGUUUUAAAAGCUUACUGAGUAAAUAAUCUCAAUUUGUCCCAUUUUGGUCAGAAAAACAAUUUGGAUAAAAAUAUAGAGUGGAGAAGAAUCAGUGAGUUUCAGACUUGUUUUACUGCUAUGUUUUACUGCCCCAGAGCUAAAAUUGAAAAAUGAACACUGUAAGACCUCUUUUUGCAUCUGUCUGUGUUUAUGUAUGUCUAGGUAUGCAUGUUAGAUCUAUGUUAUAUUUUUCUGCCUCUGGAGGAUAUCACCAAAUUAAUUUGUAAAAUCCCUUCUUG